rnacentral:miRNA from 1 species
AGGUGGGAGGAUCGCUUGAGCCCGGGAGGUGGAGGUUGCAGUGAGCUGAGAUCACGCCACUGCACUCCAGCCUGGG